rnacentral:rRNA from 1 species
UGGGGAAUAUUGGACAAUGGGCGCAAGCCUGAUCCAGCCAUGCCGCGUGAGUGACGAAGGCCUUAGGGUUGUAAAGCUCUUUUGGCGGGGAAGAUAAUGACGGUACCCGCAGAAUAGGCUCCGGCUAACUUCGUGCCAGCAGCCGCGGUAAUACGAAGGGAGCUAGCGUUGUUCGGAAUCACUGGGCGUAAAGCGCACGUAGGUGGGCAGUUAAGUCAGGGGUGAAAGCCCGAGGCUCAACCUCGGAAUUGCCUCUGAUACUGGCUGUCUAGAGUUCGAGAGAGGUGAGUGGAAUUCCUAGUGUAGAGGUGAAAUUCGUAGAUAUUAGGAAGAACACCGGUGGCGAAGGCGGCUCACUGGCUCGAUACUGACACUGAGGUGCGAAAGCGUGGGGAGCAAACAGGAUUAGAUACCCCAGUAGUCCCUGAGCGGGCUGGCAAGGCGCAU